CUCCAUUAAUGUCUCUGGGAGGGAAACGGCCUGACACCAGGAGAUUAUGAACUCAUAUAGGAGGCGAGAAACCAAAACAGGUGAGAAAAGAAGGGAGCAGUGCCGAAAGAAAAUGCGUAUUAUCUGAAUUCGGGGUCAGAGGAGUGGGAUAUGUGGUCAAUACGCAUCCGGUUCCCUUAUUUACAACUAUAAAGUGUUUAAGCAUAGAACCUAG